AUCUACUUCAGAGAAGAUGAUGAGCAUCAAAGAACCCCCAUAUGGAAUUUGCUUUCAAUGUGGCAAAGCUAGUCAUUUGUCCAAGAAAUUGUCCUUGCCUUAACUGCUGACAGUAUGCUGUCCAAAUUGGACAAUCGGGACACAAAGGAAGUUGACUUCCAAACUUUGCCAAUACAAGGAGUGCUUGACUGCAAGAGGCCACACAGUAAGAAGCAUAUUUUCACACCAGUCAUUAAGUUUGUUCUGAAGUUGAAGAUAAAAUAAAUAACGAGUGCAAAGACUUGAAGAUCUGUUAAACAGAGUUUGAAGAUUUUUUUCAGAAGAGAUAGAGAGUAAAUAUUUUAAGCUUUAUGGGCUGUACGGUGUGCUUUGACCACUACUGAAUGCUGGCAUUGCCGAAAAGCAGCUACACCAAUAGGCAUAACCAUCAACAUUGCCGUGCCUCCAGCUACUUACAAAACACAUACAUGCAGGUCGAGCCUGCAGGUGGUUGUUUGCUGACCUCUGGUAUCAAGCCCUUUGCUACACAAAGCCUUAAUUUUGUAUUUAGAUCAUUUACCUCACAGAGAUAAUACAGGUGAAGACAUAAUGGAUUUAGGAGCCAUCUUCCAGCUUUAUCACUGACUGUGCCCUCUGUGAAGUGUAAAAGAAGAUAAACAGCAAGACUCUCUUCCAAAGCUUGAAAUGUCUAAAUCUCAUAUCGAUUGGGCUGAUAAUUCAUACGGAGCAUCUUCUCUCAGACUUCGAAGUCUGAAACAGAUUUUUAACUCUGCAAACCAUUAAAGCUCACCCUUAGAAGGUGGACAUGGGUCCUUACACCAA